GGUCACACUCAGGUUUUGUGACUUCUCCCAUUUCAAUAGCUUUGUUUGAUUCUACAUAUCAUUUUGGCGAUUAUUCAUAAUGAUGAGAAGAGUCGUCACCAGCAACUUCGCAAGCCUGUAUUUAUUUAAUCCCAUCUUAUGAGAAAAGUAUCACCAUGAUGCCAGUUUGAAAAUAAGAAAAGUGAGACAGCGAGGUUAAAUCAGUUCUACAAGGUCACCAGAACGAAGUACACAUUCCCCACCAUGAACCAGGAGACCUGGCAAUGGCUGUGUUCCCUCCCUGUUGUUUGACCUGAGGCCAAACUGUGGUGGAGGUACUGAAGAUAAUGGUGAUCUCCUUCAAAAGGCCCCAUGCAGGGACUGCUACACUCAGUGCCCCCAAUCCUGCAGCAGGCCACCGCCGACCCAUGCCUCUGCCGGAGACUCCUGGACACUCAUGGAUCUUUGCGAAGAUGGGGCUCAUCAUCUCAUGAUCUAAUCAACUGAGAAUAUCAGUCUACAGGGCUUGCUUAAAUUAUCACAAAUACCUUAUUAAACCCCAUAAGAAAUAAACUAGUUUAUCUCAUCAGAUUGUCAUAAUUCCCUUCCAUGUUCAGCUCUUCCUAACUUUUCUCCCCUU